CCAGGAGCUGACACUCUCCCUGUAACCCCUGGCAGGUCUGUGUGCAGGUAAAUGCUGGGGUUUCUGGUUAUACUCAGCUUUGUAACCAUACUCAGUACUGAUCUCUGGUGUGGCCGCUUUCUCCUUGAUUUCUCUGUUUCCCUCAUUCCGGGGCAGGAUAUCGCGGCCGGAGCUCCGUCUGAGGUCUCUGUUUUCUUCCAGUUAGACCCGGACAGUCCCAGAGGCAGCUGCCGAGGGCCCUGAUCUGGUCGAGGGGCCAACACUCCAUCCUCAGUAACCCGGAAGCUGAUAGGGAGGCGUCUGAGCGCCAAACGCGGUGACCCAGGAAAGAGUCCGGUUUAGGACUGAACAUGGACAAGGAUCCGGUGGCUGAGAAGAUCUUGAGCCUCACCCUGGAGAUCAUCUCCCUGCUGAGCGGAGAGGAUUAUAUGAUUGUGAGGAAGCCCAGUGACUGCGUCCCACCCAACGACGGCCCCCGUG